AAUGAACGUUGGCGGCGUGGAUUAGGCAUGCAAGUCGAGCGCUCAUAGCAAUAUGGGAGCGGCGAACGGCGUAGGAAUUCAUAGGAACGUACCCUCAGGACGGGGAUAGCUACGGGAAACUGUAGGUAAUACCCGAUGAUCUCCGCGGAGCAAAGGUGUGAUUCCGCCUGAGGAGCGGCUUAUGCGAUAUUAGCUAGUUGGUGGGGUAAUGGCCUACCAAGGCGACGAUGUCUAGGGGGUGUGAGAGCAUGGCCCCCACGACCGGAACUGAGAUACUGUCCGGACACCUACGGGUGGCUGCAGUCGAGAAUCUUCCGCAAUGGACGAAAGUCUGACGGAGCGACGCCGCGUGCGGGAUGAAGGCCCUUGGGUUGUAAACCGCUUUCGGAGGGGAUGAAAUCCUCGAGGGUUCUCCCUCGAGGUUGACAGAGCCUCAGAGGAAGCACGGGCUAAGUACGUG
rnacentral:rRNA from 1 species